CCGCAGGCACAGUUUAUGUGCGCCACAUGCGGCAACCGCUAUGUGCGUAAACCCGGCGCCGCCUGCGGCUUCUUUGCCCACGGUACCCGCACCUUCACCUGCGACAACUGCUGCAAACGCAACCUCGCGUCCCACGGCUUCUACGGCCCCCCCGGGACCCGGAGCCUGCAGGAGGCGGGCGGGCGGCAGUGCGCCGAGUGCGGCACGGAGACAACGCCCAAGUGGCGCCUACACCGCACCCGUGACGGCGCGUACUGCUGCAACGCGUGCGCCAAAAGGCUGAUGUAUCGGGCGGCCAAACGGGCCCGAUGCGCCCGGGAGCAGGAGGAGGAAGGCGACACCAACAGCCAGCGCGCAGUUGCGCACGGAGGCAACACCGGCUUGCCCGCCGCCGCCGCCACCCUUCCUGCCGACCUUCCUGUUGCGGCGACGGCGAAGAGAGCUCUGCCCGCGAACGCCAUAGAUGUCUUGUUGGGCCCAGGCGCGGUGCCCGCCACCUGUGAUGCUGCACCAGUUGCUGCUAUAGAUGCAGACUCCACACAUGCUGGUACCGUGGCGGCAGAAGCAGCAGCAGCUGCGGGGGCGGGGGCAGCUGCAGCUGUGGGCCUAGAGUCGGCGGCAGCGGCGGCUGCGGCUGUGGCUGCUGGAACGGCGGGCGAGACGCGGGACCGCGCCGCAUGUGCAGCGGCGUCGUCGGCUCGCACUGCCGCCACAUGCUCACGUGACCGGAUCGCCAAACAGCAGCUGCAACAAAUGCAAUCGACAGUGGCGGCGCCGGCGCCGAUGCCUGCCGCGUCGGGCGCAGGACGUGCAGCAGCACCCGCAACAGCAGGAGGCGCGACUGCAGGAUCUGCGUCUUCAGCUUCAGCAGCAGCGGCAACGGAAGGAGAGGAUUUCAGAGGCGCGGCGGACAGAGGUGCAUUCCACACUUCGCAGGCGCAAAUCACGUGCGCCACAUGCGGGGCACCUUAUUUGCGCCGCCCGGGGACCUCGAGCGGCUUCUUCGCCCGUGGCACCGGCGCCUUCACCUGCCACGGCUGCUGCCUACGCAACAUCGGGUCGCACGGCUUCUACGGCCCGCCCGGGACGCGGAGCAUGGAGGAGGCGGGCGGGCGGGAGUGCGCCGAGUGCGGCAUGGUGGGGCCAACGCGGUGGCGCAUUCACCCCACCCGUGACGGCGCGUACUGCUGUAGUGUGUGCGAGAAAAGGCUGAGGUCUUGGGCGGCCAAGCAAGCUCGCUGCGCCCAGGAACAGGAGGAGCAAGGUGACACCAACAGCCAGCGCGCAGCUGCGCAUGGAGGCAACACCGGCUCACCAGCCGCCGCCACCGCCCUUCCUGUCGCGGCGACGGCGAAGAGAGCUCUGCCUGCAAGAGCCGCAGAUGCGGCUGUGCCUCUGAGCCCAGGCGUGAUGCCUGCCGCCUGCGAUGCUGCACCAGCUGCUACACCAGCUAAUGCACCAGCUAUUGCACCAGCUGCUGAUCCCACAGGCGCUGGUACUAUGGGGACAGACACAGCAGCACCAGCAGCUGCGGCGGCGGCGGCUGCAGCUGUGGGCCUAGAGCCGGCGGCAGCUGCGGCUGCGGCUGUGGCUGCUGGAACGGCGGGCGAGACGCGGGACCGCGCCACGUGUGCAGCGGCGCCGCCGGCUCGCACUGCCGCCACAUGCGCACGUGACCGGAUCGCCAAGCAGCUGCAGCAAACGUGGCCGUCAACAGCAUCGCGUGCAGCAGCGACGCUGGCGCCGGCGCCUGCCGCGUCGGGCGCAGGACGUGCAGCGGCGCCGUCACCGGCAGCCGCAACAGCAGGAGGCGCGACUGCAGGACCUGCGCCUUCAGCUGCAGCAACAGCGGCAGUGGCAGGGGGAUUGCAGGAGGCGGCGGACGGAGGUGCAUCCCACAGCGUGCAGGCACAAUUCAUGUGCGACACAUGCGGCGCACCUUACGUGCGCCGCCCGAGGACCGCGAGCGGUUUCUUCGCGCGUGGCACCCGCACCUUCACCUGCGACAACUGCUGCAAACGCAACCUCGCGUCCCACGGCUUCUACGGCCCCCCCGGGACCCGGAGCCUGCAGGAGGCGGGCGGGCGGCAGUGCGCCGAGUGUGGCACGGAGAAAGCGCA
rnacentral:lncRNA from 1 species